UUUGCAAGUGCUAAGUAGUGGUGCCGCAGGUAACCUGUAUGCGAUUACCUGCCGCCUGCUGCUUACCAUUUGUACG
rnacentral:pre_miRNA from 1 species